rnacentral:rRNA from 1 species
GACGAACGCUGGCGGCGUGCUUAACACAUGCAAGUCGAACGGAAAGGCCCUGCGUUUGUGGGGUGCUCGAGUGGCGAACGGGUGAGUAACACGUGAGUAACCUGCCCUUGACUUUGGGAUAACUUCAGGAAACUGGGGCUAAUACCGGAUAGGAGCUCCUGCUGCAUGGUGGGGGUUGGAAAGUUUCGGCGGUUGGGGAUGGACUCGCGGCUUAUCAGCUUGUUGGUGGGGUAGUGGCUUACCAAGGCUUUGACGGGUAGCCGGCCUGAGAGGGUGACCGGCCACAUUGGGACUGAGAUACGGCGCAGGCUCCUACGGGAGGCAGCAGUGGGGAAGAUUGCACAAUGGGCGGAAGCCUGAUGCAGCAACGCCGGGUGCGGGAUGACGGAAUUCGGGGUGUAAACCGCUUUCGCCUGUGACGAAGCGGGAGUGACGGUAAUGGGUAAAGAAGCACCGGCUAACUACGUG